GGCACAGUGGUAGAGUGGUUAAUACGUGAGACUUGAACUUGCUGUGGUCACCCGAUUGCAGUUUCAUCUUCGACAUCUCAUGCCUUCGGGCUCGUAGGUUCGAAUCCUGCCUGUGUCG
rfam:Paracoccidioides sp. &apos;lutzii&apos; Pb01 unplaced genomic scaffold supercont2.14, whole genome shotgun sequence.